rnacentral:rRNA from 1 species
AUUGAACGCUGGCGGCAUGCCUUACACAUGCAAGUCGAACGGUAACAGGUUAAGCUGACGAGUGGCGAACGGGUGAGUAAUACAUCGGAACGUGCCCAGACGUGGGGGAUAGCUCGGCGAAAGCCGGAUUAAUACCGCAUGUGAUCUGAGGAUGAAAGCGGGGGACCGUAAGGCCUCGCGCGGUUGGAGCGGCCGAUGGCAGAUUAGGUAGUUGGUGGGGUAAAGGCUUACCAAGCCUACGAUCUGUAGCUGGUCUGAGAGGACGACCAGCCACACUGGGACUGAGACACGGCCCAGACUCCUACGGGAGGCAGCAGUGGGGAAUUUUGGACAAUGGGCGAAAGCCUGAUCCAGCAAUGCCGCGUGCAGGAUGAAGGCCUUCGGGUUGUAAACUGCUUUUGUACGGAACGAAAAGGCGCCUGCUAAUACUGGGUGUUGAUGACGGUACCGUAAGAAUAAGCACCGGCUAACUACGUGCCAGCCGCCGCAGUAAUAC